ensembl:lncRNA
CUAAAUGGAGUGUCUCGGAUUUACUUACAGAAUAAUAUGAAAUGCUCUGAGACCAGGCUGCAACUGUUUCCCGUAUGUAUCAAGAAUGGUACACCAGUCAACGGACAUGCAGCCAACUUGACACAACUGUGGGAAGAGUGUGGAGUCGACAUGGGCCAGCAUCCCUGUGGAACGCUUUUGACACAUUGUGGAGUCCAAACCCUGAAGAAUUACGGAUGUUCUGAGGGCAAAAGGGGAAGCAACUCAAUAUUGGGAAGGCGUUCCUAAUGUUUCGUAUAUUCAGUGUACGUUCACAAUACAAUCCUUUGACUUGAAUUCAACAGUUUGAAUACAACAGUGUCAGCAUUAUUCUAUUAUUACGCACUUUGCCCAAAUUAUUUCGAGGUCUCUAAAGUGUCCAUACCCCAUUGAUUGGGGUACAUCUUACCUAAACCUGUCCACAUUGAUACCAUGCGCAAAUAGUUUCUCUCCAACGAAACCGAAAGAAAGUGAAAAUGUGAUUGAUCGCGGAAGUUUUUCUCGACUUGAUGGGACUGGAGUUUGGUGAAAUCCUAAGCCCACCGCCAGCAACCCAUGACGGAGAGGGAAACUAAAGACGACAACGGGGAUUCAGCAAUGUUGGUAACCACGCAUCUUCGGGAAAACCACUGCACAUCCUGGGUCCGCUUGCCAACGCUUAGACUUUUUUCAUUAAACCAUAUUUAAACAACCACAUAGGCGACUUACCGUUUGGAUACAAUGUACGCAGCCCUACCAUGAAUAACUCCCACCGCUCUUGCUGGCCCCCGAGGACAGGGAUUUGCUCGUCUGAAGAACAUUUAUAGAAAAUGAUAAAUGGUCGCAGUUGUAAAUGAGAACUUGUUCUCAACUGGCCUGCCUGGUUAAAUAAAGUGUGUGAACGGGCCUGUGCUCCGUAGCGUCUUGGUGUUUCUGCUGUUGGGUGUCUCCUACACUAAGCACAGGUGCAACUAUUCGGAGAUACUCGGCUCAUACAGAGAACUCAUCUUCGUUGAACUUCAGAAUUUGAAUCUGACUGGCAAUUUUGACACGUCCAAAGAGAGGGACCGUUGUCCCUCAGGAAAGGUGCAGCACGUUUUGCGCUCCAUCCAUGGUAUGACUCAGCAGUUCCUGUGCCAGAGCCGCAGGCAGGGCAUUAGACAACAGGGGGACAUGGAGAAACCAGUGGAGAUGAUGGAACAGCUGAUCAGACAGAACUGCAAACACACUAACCUGGUGAGAGGACAGAAGAGAGCCGCCCUGUGUGUGACUUCCCAGAGAACGAAGGGAAAGAAGAAGAAGAGGAUAAGGGCACUGAUAAACUGUUGGCAGAAGCUGCAGAGUGUGUACUUGCCCACAAAAUGAAUGGGAAAUACUAUGUUUUUCUUUGUUUUGGUGUUUUGGCAACCACACUGUGAACAGUUGAACACAUGCACAGAUAUUGCAGAAAUGCUGCAUCUCGCUCAUCUCAAUAUCUCCGGUGCUGCUCGAGGCGAUGACAUUCUACCUUUAAUAAUGGUUGUUAGAGGAUGGUAUACAAUGCAAUUCAAAUAUUUACUUGUAAUACUUUGUGCACACACAUAAAAAAUAUAUUAUCUCAUAAUCCAGAGAUUGCGAUUCCUUUUCUUAAACAUAUAUUUGGUAUUUGGCGUCAGCUAGUCUUACUGGGGUUCGACACAUAAUGAAAAAGACAUAACAGAAAAAAACACUAACAUGUAGUGCAUCUAUCAGUUAGACAUACAGUUGAAUUCGAACGUUUACAGACACUUAGGUUGGAGUCAUUAAAAUCCGCUUUUCAACCACUCCACACAUUUCUUGUUAACAAACUAUAGUUUUGGUAAGACGGUUAGGACAUCUACUUUGGCUUUAGAAGCUUCUGAUAGGCUAAUCGAUAUCAUUUGAGUCAAUUGGAGGUGUACCUGUGGAUGUAUUUCAAGGCCUACCUUCAAACUGCCUGAUUCUUUGAAUUUUCCCAUGAUGUCAAGCGAAGAUCAAAUCAAAGUGUGUUUGUCACGUGCGCCGAAUAUAACAGUGAAAUGCUGACUUACAGGCUCUAACCAAUAGUGCAAACAUGGUAUUAGGUGAACAAUAGGUAGGUAAAGAAAUAAAACAACAGUUAAAAGACAGGAUAUAGAAGUAGCGAGGCAACAUACAGACACCGGUUAGUCAGGCUGAUUGAGGUAGUCUGUACAUGUAGAUAUGGUUAAAGUGACUAUGCAUAUAUGAUGAACAGAGAGUAG